UACAGAGGCCACGAGCGUUAGGCGGAAUCACUGGGCUUAAAGCGUGUGUAGGUGGAUGGGUAAGUACCUUGUGAAAUCCCACGGCUCAACCGUGGAAAUGCUUGGUAUACUGCCUGUCUUGAGGCACUCAGGGGCGAGCGGAACAGAUGGUGGAGCGGUGAAAUGCGUAGAUAUCAUCUGGAACGCCAAUGGUGAAAACAGCUCGCUGGGAAUGAUCUGACACUGAGACGCGAAAGCCAGGGGAGCGAACGGG
rnacentral:rRNA from 1 species